UAAAUGGAACAUGCGAGUAAGGGCGGAA
rnacentral:piRNA from 1 species